UGACAUACCUAAACGUUGCUUCGGCGGGAACAGACGGCCCCGUGAAACGGGCCGCCCCCGCCAGAGGACCCCUAACUCUGUUUCUAUAAUGUUUCUUCUGAGUAAAACAAGCAAAUAAAUUAAAACUUUCAACAACGGAUCUCUUGGCUCUGGCAUCGAUGAAGAACGCAGCGAAAUGCGAUAAGUAAUGUGAAUUGCAGAAUUCAGUGAAUCAUCGAAUCUUUGAACGCACAUUGCGCCCGCCAGUAUUCUGGCGGGCAUGCCUGUUCGAGCGUCAUUACAACCCUCAGGCCCCCGGGCCUGGCGUUGGGGAUCGGCGGAGCCCCCCGUGGGCACACGCCGUCCCCCAAAUACAGUGGCGGUCCCGCCGCAGCUUCCAUCGCGUAGUAGCUAACACCUCGCGACUGGAGAGCGGCGCGGCCACGCCGUAAAACACCCAACUCUUCUGAAGUUGACCUCGAAUCAGGUAGGAAUACCCGCUGAACUUAAGCAUAUCAAU
rnacentral:rRNA from 1 species